AUUUAAAUAUAAUAAAUAUAGCAUCCAAUCCCGGACCAUUUUGUGAAUCCCGGGAUUUCGGGAUCUUACAUUGGUAAUCCCGGAUCCCGGGAUAUUUCGGG